AUUAGUGGCGAACGGGUGAGUAACACGUGAGUAACCUGCCCUUGACUCUGGGAUAAGCCUGGGAAACUGGGUCUAAUACUGGAUACGACCUUCCAUCGCAUGGUGGUUGGUGGAAAGCUUUUGUGGUUUUGGAUGGACUCGCGGCCUAUCAGCUUGUUGGUGGGGUAAUGGCCUACCAAGGCGACGACGGGUAGCCGGCCUGAGAGGGUGGACGGCCACACUGGGACUGAGACACGGCCCAGACUCCUACGGGAGGCAGCAGUGGGGAAUAUUGCACAAUGGGCGCAAGCCUGAUGCAGCGACGCCGCGUGAGGGAUGAAGGCCUUCGGGUUGUAAACCUCUUUCAGUAGGGAAGAAGCGAAAGUGACGGUACCUGCAGAAGAAGCGCCGGCUAACUACGUGCCAGCAGCCGCGGUAAUACGUAGGGCGCAAGCGUUAUCCGGAAUUAUUGGGCGUAAAGAGCUCGUAGGCGGUUUGUCGCGUCUGCCGUGAAAGUCCGGGGCUUAACUCCGGAUCUGCGGUGGGUACGGGCAGACUUGAGUGAUGUAGGGGAGACUGGAAUUCCUGGUGUAGCGGUGAAAUGCGCAGAUAUCAGGAGGAACACCGAUGGCGAAGGCAGGUCUCUGGGCAUUAACUGACGCUGAGGAGCGAAAGCAUGGGGAGCGAACAGGAUUAGAUACCCUGGUAGUCCAUGCCGUAAACGUUGGGCACUAGGUGUGGGGGACAUUCCACGUUUUCCGCGCCGUAGCUAACGCAUUAAGUGCCCCGCCUGGGGAGUACGGCCGCAAGGCUAAAACUCAAAGGAAUUGACGGGGGCCCGCACAAGCGGCGGAGCAUGCGGAUUAUUUCGAUGCAACGCGAAGAACCUUACCAAGGCUUGACAUGAACCGGAACGGCGCAGAGAUGUGUCGGCCACUUGUGGCCGGUUUACAGGUGUCGCAUGGUUGUCGUCAGCUCGUGUCGUGAGAUGUUGGGUUAAGUCCCGCAACGAGCGCAACCCUCGUUCCAUGUCGCCAGCGGGUUUUGCCGGGACCUCAUGGGCGG
rnacentral:rRNA from 2 species